rnacentral:lncRNA from 1 species
UGCAAUGUUUUCCCCUCAACUUUGAAAUUUCAGGAAAAAUGGAGAAAACGGCAGGAAAUAAUCCUGUUAAAAUCGCUGAAAAAAUUUCCCCGCACGUACGGGCCCCACGAGCUGUGCACAUGUGCGCAGGCGGUUAACCAAACGUGCAUCUGUGCACAAGUCCCAUCUAUGCAGGGUGCAAGGCAUGCAGUCUGUGUGUGCUUUACAUCGUGCAUACACAGCGCACAGCUCCACAUGUGCAGGUUCUUCAGCUAGUGCACGCAGCAGGUGUCGCCUACGCGUAGCAACGCUUGGGUGCUGCACAGUUGACCUUAGAUUGUGUAUGCUGCCCCUUGAGGGGCGUGCAUCACCACUCGAUCAAUGUGCUGUUGUUUGUUAGGUGUGCAUCAUCAAUUGGCCGGCAUGCCCCUGGCCUACGUAUCAAGUCGUCACAUUGUCGUCGUCUUGUUAGCCAUCCAUCAGUCACAUUCGUCAAUCAUCAGGUAAUGUCGGUCAACUCUUUCCUCCCUCUCUCCUCAUGGAUUUACGCCACUUGGCAAAUAUCUGAUGAUUCAUUUUCUCUACAAAUAGGGACCCCUCCCCACCAUUUCUUCACACUUCCUCUUCAUUUCAUUUUCUAAAGAAAUUCUAGAGAGAGAAAGAGAGAGCUAGAGAGAGGCUUAGAAGAAGAAGGAAAGAA